AUUGAACGCUGGCGGCAGGCUUAACACAUGCAAGUCGAGCGGGGUGAUGGUGCUUGCACUAUCACUUAGCGGCGGACGGGUGAGUAAUGCCUAGGAAUCUGCCUAUUAGGGGGGGACAACAUCUCGGAAGGGAUGCUGAUACCGCAUACGUCCUACGGGAGAAAGCAGGGGAUCACUUGUGACCUUGCGCUAAAAGAUGAGCCUACGUCGGAGUAGCUAGUUGGUGGGGUAAAGGCCUACCAGGGCGACGAUCUGUAGCGGGUCUGCGAGGAUGAUCCGCCACACUGGGACUGAGACACGGCCCAGACUCCUACGGGAGGCAGCAGUGGGGAAUAUUGGACAAUGGGGGGAACCCUGAUCCAGCCAUGCCGCGUGUGUGAAGAAGGCCUUAUGGUUGUAAAGCACUUUAAGCGAGGAGGAGGCUCUUUUGGUUAAUACCCAAGAUGAGUGGACGUUACUCGCAGAAUAAGCACCGGCUAACUCUGUGCCAGCCGCCGCAGUAA
rnacentral:rRNA from 1 species